rnacentral:rRNA from 1 species
CAUUGAUGAAGUACGCAGCGAAAUGCGAUAAGUAAUGUGAAUUGCAGAAUUCAGUGAAUCAUCGAAUCUUUGAACGCACAUUGCGCCCCUUGGCAUUCCUUGGGGCAUGCCUGUUCGAGCGUCACU